GGAAUCGAAAUAUGAUCUCGGCGUUAUAAAUAUUGUAUUAAAGGAAACCAAUUGUUUGACUUUCAAAGAGAUUAACGGGAAAUAUGUCAAAAUAGAAAGCACGAGUGAUCUGUCUGACCAAAAUGUUUCACUUGCGAGAAAUGAUUGACAGGUGUGAAUAGAUGUAGAGGCUCCGACGGGGAAAGUUGUAUCAAAAGGAAAAUAACUUAAUUCACAAUGCCUAUAUAUAUUUCAUAAAUACGAUAUGUUGGCCUUAUACUUAAAAUUGAGUUUCUUAUAAUAACAUAUAAAGGAACAGGACGUUAAAAGCGGGAAAUAAUAUAACCAUCAACGAAAACUCGUAUAAUUUACGGGAUUGAAGUCUCAACAAUUUGAUUUAACUUUUAAGAGUCUUGGUUGUUAUUAGGCUUAUUAUUUUGAAUUAGAUGAAAUAUUUACGGUUUACAAAUACAAAUACAAAAUAGUUUAUUGGCACAAAACUAUUGAAAUAAUUGGCAACAC
rnacentral:lncRNA from 1 species